rnacentral:lncRNA from 1 species
GAACACAGUGCCUGACUCAGAGUAGACCCUCAGCGGACAUUCAAACAAAUGAGUGAAUUCAUAGCAGAUGGUGGCCUCAGAGGCAACUUUGUGAGAUUGGGGAAGUGAAAGAAAGAAGAUGAAAUGCCCACAUGGUAUGCUCCAGCCCCUCAGCACUGCCCAUGUGUGCUGAACCCUUGAAAACCUCUUUCCUGCUACUCACCAGCUGUGUGCUGCAGGCACAUUAGUGAACUUCAUCAGGGCACAGAACUCACACGGUUGUUGGGAAGAUUAAAGACAGUCCAUCUACAAUAGAAAGAGAAGAUGAACCACAAAUGAGCAAGAAGUACAACUGUGUGGGGAAGAGCCUGUCCACAGCCAGACUGCUGAGCUGACUCCCAUCUGCACUGACAGCAGCUGCUCCGAAUGGACUCCUGCAGCCCCUCCCUUGUGAAGCUUUCUCCACUCAGCUUACUGUUUCUCAACCAGAAGUUGUCUCUUCUCUGAACUCCCAGCAGCUUUGUUUGCUCCUCUCUGAAGAGAUCAUACCCCUUCUUUCGACCUGGGGAAAAGGACAGAGUGUUAAAAAAUGA